rnacentral:sRNA from 1 species
AUUCUGCCCAUGCGGGGAAGGAUGAGAAGCUUCGACUAAGGUUCGGCUCGAGCGUCAGCGAGAGAGCGUUGCCACAGGCAACGACCCGAAGGGCGAAGCGCGCAGCGCUGAGUAAUCCUUCCCCCACCACCA